UUCNCUUCGGAAGUGCUAGUGCUGCCUCGG
rnacentral:piRNA from 1 species